rnacentral:rRNA from 1 species
CCUACGGGGGGCUGCAGUGAGGAAUAUUGGUCAAUGGACGAGAGUCUGAACCAGCCAAGUAGCGUGAAGGAUGACUGCCCUAUGGGUUGUAAACUUCUUUUAUAUGGGAAUAAAAUGUUCCACGUGUGGGAUUUUGUAUGUACCAUAUGAAUAAGGAUCGGCUAACUCCGUGCCAGCAGCCGCGGUAAUACGGAGGAUCCGAGCGUUAUCCGGAUUUAUUGGGUUUAAAGGGAGCGUAGGUGGAUUGUUAAGUCAGUUGUGAAAGUUUGCGGCUCAACCGUAAAAUUGCAGUUGAAACUGGCAGUCUUGAGUACAGUAGAGGUGGGCGGAAUUCGUGGUGUAGCGGUGAAAUGCUUAGAGAUCACGAAGAACUCCGAUUGCGAAGGCAGUUCACUGGACUGCAACUGACACUGAGGCUCGAAAGUGUGGGUAUCAAACAGGAUUAGAUACCCGUGUAGUC